AUGGUUGUGUAUCAGUAUUGCUUGGUAGAUCUCUUGGUUCGGGACCCAAGAGGCCGGAAGUUCAAAUCUUCUCACUCCGACCA
rnacentral:tRNA from 1 species